UACGUAGGGGGCAAGCGUUGUCCGGAAUCAUUGGGCGUAAAGAGCGUGUAGGCGGCCCGAUAAGUCCGCUGUGAAAGUCCAGGGCUCAACCCUGGAAUGCCAGUGGAAACUGUCGGGCUGGAGUCCGGAAGAGGCGAGUGGAAUUCCUGGUGUAGCGGUGAAAUGCGCAGAUAUCAGGAAGAACACCUAUGGCGAAGGCAGCUCUCUGGGACGGUACUGACGCUGAGACGCGAAAGCGUGGGGAGCGAACAGG
rnacentral:rRNA from 1 species